AUUGAACGCUGGCGGCAGGCCUAACACAUGCAAGUCGAACGGUAGCACAGAGAGCUUGCUCUCGGGCGACGAGUGGCGGACGGGUGAGUAAUGUCUGGGAAACUGCCCGAUGGAGGGGGAUAACUACUGGAAACGGUAGCUAAUACCGCAUAACGUCGCAAGACCAAAGUGGGGGACCUUCGGGCCUCACACCAUCGGAUGUGCCCAGAUGGGAUUAGCUAGUAGGUGGGAUAAUGGCUCACCUAGGCGACGAUCCCUAGCUGGUCUGAGAGGAUGACCAGCCACACUGGAACUGGGACACGGUCCAGACUCCUACGGGAGGCAGCAGUGGGGAAUAUUGCACAAUGGGCGCAAGCCUGAUGCAGCCAUGCCGCGUGUAUGAAGAAGGCCUUCGGGUUGUAAAGUACUUUCAGCGGGGAGGAAGGCGGUGAAGUUAAUAGCUUCACCAAUUGACGUUACCCGCAGAAGAAGCACCGGCUAACUCCGUGCCAGCAGCCGCAGUAA
rnacentral:rRNA from 1 species